UGGGGAAUUUUGGACAAUGGGCGAAAGCCUGAUCCAGCAAUGCCGCGUGUGUGAAGAAGGCCUUCGGGUUGUAAAGCACUUUUGUCCGGAAAGAAAUCCUUGGCUCUAAUACAGUCGGGGGAUGACGGUACCGGAAGAAUAAGCACCGGCUAACUACGUGCCAGCAGCCGCGGUAAUACGUAGGGUGCAAGCGUUAAUCGGAAUUACUGGGCGUAAAGCGUGCGCAGGCGGUUUGCUAAGACCGAUGUGAAAUCCCCGGGCUCAACCUGGGAACUGCAUUGGUGACUGGCAGGCUAGAGUAUGGCAGAGGGGGGUAGAAUUCCACGUGUAGCAGUGAAAUGCGUAGAGAUGUGGAGGAAUACCGAUGGCGAAGGCAGCCCCCUGGGCCAAUACUGACGCUCAUGCACGAAAGCGUGGGGAGCAAACAGGAUUAGAUACCCUGGGUAGUCCACGCCCUAAACGAUGUCAACUAGUUGUUGGGGAUUCAUUUCCUUAGUAACGUAGCUAACGCGUGAAGUUGACCGCCUGGGGAGUACGGUCGCAAGAUU
rnacentral:rRNA from 1 species